rnacentral:rRNA from 1 species
UGGGGAAUAUUGGACAAUGGAGGGAACUCUGAUCCAGCAAUUCUGUGUGUGUGAAGAAGGUUUUAGGACUGUAAAACACUUUUAGUAGGGAAGAAAAAAAUGACGGUACCUACAGAAGAAGCAACGGCUAAAUACGUGCCAGCAGCCGCGGUAAUACGUAUGUUGCGAGCGUUAUCCGGAAUUAUUGGGCUUAAAGGGCAUCUAGGCGGUAAGACAAGUUGAAGGUGAAAACCUGUUGCUCAACCAUAGGCUUGCCUACAAAACUGUUGAACUAGCGUACUGGAAAGGUGGGUGGAACUACACGAGUAGAGGUGAAAUUCGUAGAUAUGUGUAGGAAUGCCGAUAAUGAAGAUAACUCACAGGACAGAAACUGACGCUGAAGUGCGAAAGCUAGGGGAGCAAACAGG